CCAAAUUCGUAGAUAGCUGGUUUUCCGCGAAAACUAUUUAGGUAGUGCGUUGAAUAAAUAUGCGUUUAGAGGUAGAGCACUAAAUGGGCUAGGGGGAAGAGAUUCUUACCAAACCUAAUAAAACUCCGAAUGCUGAACGUAGUUCUUCAACAGACAGACUGUGGGUGCUAAGGUCCAUGGUCGAGAGGGGAACAGCCCAGAUCACCAGAUAAGGUCCCUAAAUUAUGAUUAAGUGUGAAAGGAUGUGGAAAUUCCUUAACAGCCGGGAGGUUGGCUUAGAAGCAGCCAUCCUUUAAAGAUAGCGUAACAGCUCACCGGUCUAAUAGAGUUUCUGCGCCUAAGAUGUAACGGGGCUCAAAUCAUAUACCGAAUCUGUGGGUGCAUAAAGUUUUCGAAUUUUAUGCGCGGUAGCGGAACGUUCUGUAAGCCUGUAAAGGAAUACCCGCGAGGGAUUCUGGAGGUAUCAGAAGUGCGAUUGCUGACAUAAGUAACGAUAAACGAAGUGAAAAACUUCGUCGCC
rnacentral:rRNA from 1 species